AGAGAGAGAGAGAGAGAGAGAGGGGGGGGAUCGCUGCCUUCUCUUUUCGUCUCUCGAGGAGUCAGGAGGAGGAGAUCAGAGAUCCGGCGUCUUCGUAGUCAGAUUCCUUUAAGGGUUUCCGCCAUCUUCCGCGAUCUUCUCCUCUCAAUCGUGGUCGAAUAUUGUGAUUCUAUCCUAAUCUGUUCCCUUUUAUGAGGUACAGAAUGGUUCUUUUAGAUCGAGGAAAAACAAAACCCUAAUUUGCUUCCGGAGACCAAUGUUCUUUCUGCAUUAUCUUUGUCUCAAAUUUCUGGAGAACACUCAUUUUUCUUUGACUCUAACAUGGGCAUUUCAAUGUCUUGACUAUUUAAUUUUAGCUCGAUUUGUCCUGGCUAUUAUUCGGGAACGAAUGUGUUGGUUUCAUCUUCGUUGGUCAAAAACUGGAUUUCUAUCUAGGUAGACAAUGCGGUUAGACAAUGCCGUUUAAGUUGGAAAACCAGAACCUGUGAUUUCGGAUAGUGAAAAAGUUUGAUCUUCACUGAGUUGAAGAAUUGGAAAGGCACGACCUUGAAAUUAUCGUCUAUCGCUUAUAGUGUACAAGAUGGGGGUGCUGUCAAGGAAGGUUUUGCCUGCAUGCGGGAAUCUGUGCUUUUUCUGCCCCUCACUGAGAGCAGAUCUAGACAACCAGUGAAGCGGUACAAGAAGUUGCUAGCUGAUAUUUUUCCCCACUCUCAGGUCCACGGAGUCCAUCGUGCGGGCAACCGUUCAAAUGGCGGUGGCUGUGAACCCUGGCCUCGCCGCCGGGCUCAUCCGAAUGCAGUUCCAUGACUGCUUCGUGAGGAGUGACAAUCCUUUCCUUGAUGAGAAAUUGAAUUUAGACGUACAGAAUCAGUUUGGUGGCAACAAUAUGAUAUUAUACCAGUCCCAGUGCCUCAGGCUUCCGGCUUCAAGCCCAUAUGACCACUUCCUGAAGGCUGCUGGCUGUUAGAGCUGUCGUACGAACUCUGAAGGAGGGCCAGAACUCUCGGCCCCUUGUAGAUGUCGUCAGUGUAAAGUUUUUCCCAACUGGAAGCUUAUAAGAUUUCCUUGAGGAUGAUGGUUUCCACCAUUUUGUUUAGUUAUACAGGAAUCUUUGUGUCUGUCGUCAUGGAGAUGUGAGAUCCCAUUUGUUCAUUCUUUUCGUACCUAGAUCUGGUCGAGGACUCUGGAAAACAAGAAGGUUUUCCAAGUAUUUUUUAUUCUGAUGCGGAAUCAGAGCAGCUUAAUUUGUCGAAUCGUGAUGCUUAUAAACAUUCAUCGUGUUGUAUUGGA